rnacentral:rRNA from 1 species
AUUGAACGCUGGCGGCAGGCCUAACACAUGCAAGUCGAACGAGUGGCGGACGGGUGAGUAAUGUCUGGGAAACUGCCUGAUGGAGGGGGAUAACUACUGGAAACGGUAGCUAAUACCGCAUACCAUCGGAUGUACCCAGCUGUGAUUGGCGAGUAGGGGGGGUAAAGGCUCACCUAGGCAACGAUCCCUAGCUUGUAUGAGAGGAUAACCAGCCACAAUGGAACUGAUAGACGGUCCAGACUCCUACGGGAUGCAGCAGUGGGGAAUAUUGCACAAUGGGCGCAAGCCUGAUGCAGCCAUGCCGCGGUGAUGAAGAAGGCCUUCGGGUUGUAAAGUACUUUCAGCGGGGAGGCGUUACCCGCAGAAGAAGCACCGGCUAACUCCGUGCCAGCAGCCGCGGUAAUAC